UAAGAUAGAGGUGCACUCUCGAUGAGUAUGCUCCGCCUGGGCAGACCAGCCUGUAAAAUGCGGAACGGAAAGGUGCGAGUGCCGAAGAACAGAACUGCGGUCGAUUCUGUUCUGGUUGCAGUGUUCCGAACAGGGCUGUAACUGUCAUCGUUAUGAUGGAGCGCUAUCGG
rnacentral:ncRNA from 1 species